ACUGCGAAUGGCUCAUUAAAUCAGUCAUAAUUUAUUNNAUAGUACCUCACUACUUGGACAACCGUGGUAAUUCUAGAGCUAAUACAUGCUAAAAACCUCGACUUCGGGAGGGGUGUAUUUAUUAGAUAAAAAACCAAUGCCCUCCGGGGCUCCUUGGUGAUUCAUGAUAACUUAACGAAUCGCAUGGCCUUGUGCCGGCGAUGGUUCAUUCAAAUUUCUGCCCUAUCAACUUUCGAUGGUAGGAUAGUGGCCUACCAUGGUUUCAACGGGUAACGGGGGAUUAGGGUUCUACUCCGGAGAGGGAGCCUGAGAAACGGCUACCACAUCCAAGGAAGGCAGCAGGCGCGCAAAUUACCCAAUCCCGAUACGGGGAGGUAGUGACAAUAAAUACUGAUGCAGAGCUCUUUAGGGUUUUGCAAUUGGAAUGAGUACAAUUUAAAUCCCUUAACGAGGAACAAUUGGAGGGCAAGUCUGGUGCCAGCAGCCGCGGUAAUUCCAGCUCCAAUAGCGUAUAUUAAAGUUGUUGCAGUUAAAAAGCUCGUAGUUGAACCUUGGGCCUGGCUGGCCGGUCCGCCUCACCGCGUGCACUGGUCCGGCCGGGCCUUUCCUUCUGGGGAGCCGUAUGCCCUUCACUGGGUGUGCUGGGGAACCAGGACUUUUACUUUGAAAAAAUUAGAGUGUUCAAAGCAGGCCUAUGCUCGGAUACAUUAGCAUGGAAUAAUAAAACAGGUGAGGGGGGAAUUCUUCCGAGUAGUCGAACAAUAGCUAAUUGUGCCAACAGGACGUUGUGGUUCUAUUUUGUUGGUUUCUAGGACCACCGUAAUGAUUAAUAGGGAUAGUCGGGGGCAUCAGUAUUCAAUUGUCAGAGGUGAAAUUCUUGGAUUUAUUGAGGACUAACUACUGCGAAAGCAUUUGCCAAGGAUGUUUUCAUUAAUCAGUGAACGAAAGUUAGGGGAUCGAAGACGAUCAGAUACCGUCGUAGUCUUAACCAUAAACUAUGCCGACUAGGGAUCGGGCGAUGUUAUAUUUUGACUCGCUCGGCACCUUACGAGAAAUCAAAGUUUUUGGGUUCUGGGGGGAGUAUGGUCGCAAGUCUGAAACUUAAAGAAAUUGACGGAAGGGCACCACCAGGAGUGAACCGCAGGGACUCUGCUCCUUGAAACGGCCCGCAGAGGGCGGUGGGUGGCCCCAAAAAUCGUUUCCAGCGCAAGGCCCAGUGCCUGCGCGACAUGCCUGGAGUGCGGGAAGAUUCUAAUGCUCCAGCUACCGAGUCCUGGCCGAAAGGCGGGGCGCUGGUAACAAUGCUUGGAGAUGGCACAAUGAAUGACCCGCAGCCACGACCUAAGGCGAGACGCUACGGUGGUGGUUCAGAGAUUACAUAGGUAUGAGUAGGGCCUAGCUNCCAGCGGCACGGGCGCUGCGUAAGGUAUAAUCCGUCCCGGGCU
rnacentral:rRNA from 1 species